GUCCGACUAAGUUGACAUUAUUCAGAUGAACUGGGGUAAUUGUGGUUACUUUCCACUGUAUUUCUACUUCCAACUAUUUGCUCUAAUUUAUUGAAAUAUCGAUCUUGAUAACAUAAUCGAUUCUAGAAGAUACAAACCUGUUAUCGGAGAUAUCGAUAUUUUAGUAUCGAUCCGCACAUCACUAGCACGCGCUAAUGGCGGAUCUGCGUGAAGAGAUGAGCACUGCUGACAACGAGCAAAGUCUGCUAAAACCUCGACAGCAGCUAAUGGGGAAUGAGAGUGGAGCUGACGGUCGUAAAAAGGAGAAGCGUUCAUCUUCCUCAGAUGAACAGCCUCCGGAAAGUAUAAUAAAAAAGAAAAAGGACAGUACUUGUGCACGGAAAUGCACAAAAUGCAGUGCUUGUAAAGAAAAGAUAAAGAAGUUGGAGGAAGACAACCGACGGCUACGUCAACAUUUGGACAGCUUAAGUGAGUUGAAAAGCAUGGUGUGUGAUCUCAAGGAGUUCUUAGAAGUAAGACAGCCUUCUUCAAGCCAUUAAAAUAUAACGCAUCCAUGUGAGGAUGAGGAUCCACGGCAGUUCACCUGGACUCCCUGAUAUGUUCUGAUCUGAUUUGUUCUGUGGCUGCAUUUUCUCUGGUUCUGGUGCUGGCUGCAUCAAUUAUCUCCACCUUUAUUUGUUCACAUUAAAUCAAUUGCAAUUGGA